rnacentral:rRNA from 1 species
GUAGGGAAUAUUGGGCAAUGGGGGAAACCCUGACCCAGCAACGCCGCGUGAGGGAAGAAGGCCUAACGGUUGUAAACCUCUGUCAUAUGGGAAGAAGGAAUGACAGUACCAUAUGAGGAAGCUCCGGCUAACUACGUGCCAGCAGCCGCGGUAAUACGUAGGGAGCAAGCGUUGUCCGGAAUUACUGGGCGUAAAGGGUGCGUAGGCGGCAUGUUAAGUUAGAUGUCAAAUACCCGGGAUUAACCCGGGGACGCAUCUAAAACUGGCGUGCUUGAGUGCAGGAGAGGAAAGCGCAAUUCCUAGUGUAGCGGUGGAAUGCGUAGAUAUUAGGAGGAACACCAGUGGCGAAGGCGGCCUGCUGGACAUUAACUGACGCUGAGGCGCGAAAGCGUGGGGAGCAAACAGGAUUAGAAACCCCUGUAGUCC